GUCACAUCCGGGCUAGUGUUUCACUUUCCCCUGGAGCCGCUGAUCGUUGAGGCUCGUCUGGUGAAUCUUCUUCCAUCUAACUUCAAUUCAAAACUGAAGACGAGGGAUGCGUCGGUUUCAAUGAUGAACAGAAGUCCAGAAAUGAAGCCAGGCCGUGUUCUACCCCGACCUCCUGACUGACGUCUGGUCCUCAUGUCUGAGUUUGACUGAACUGAAAAAUGCAGAACUGCAGAAAUGAAGCCAGGCCGUGUUCUCCCCCGACCUCUUGACUGACGUCUGGUCCUCAUGUCCGAGUUUGACUGAACUGGAAAAUGCAGAAGUGCAGAAAUGAAUCCAGGCCGUGUUCUACCCCGACCUCCUGACUGACGUCUGGUCCUCAUGUUGGAGUUUGACUGAACUGGAAAAAUGCAGGUGUUCAGGACCUUCUGGAUUUGCUACAGAAGAUGGUGACUCAGUGAUGUCAGGACUCUGAGGUGCAGGAAACACAAGGAAGUGAAACACAGAAGUAUCCAGAGCUGCGGCUGGUCAACCUGUGGACGUCUCUGUUCAGGACACAUUUACAUGAUGUCACAGAUUGUAUAACAAUGUAUAUCUGUCAUUUCCCUGCUGAGGAUCAAACCUGCAGUUUCUUUAUGCUUUAAAUGAGCAAUGCACCAGAGAACCACUGAGUGAAGAACUAAUGAGGAGCAAAGAGGGUCGAGAUGUGACGACCACUGAAAUGAAAUCUGUGUCAAGACAAUACACAAACUGUCCUACAAUAAAAGAGGUUUUCUAACUGUU